ensembl:lncRNA
AUUUCCCUCAGGAUUAAUAAAGUAUCAAUUUCAACUUGGAGUUCUAAGUCUAGCUGUAACAUAACUAAAUUUUAUACAGAUUUAGAGUGUAAACUGAGGUCUAAAUGUAAUCAAGCUUAAUUUUACGCUUGUUUUUGAGUUUGGUGGAAAACAAUUAAGAGUGAGCUGUGAUUUUAAUUGGGUUUAAAAAUGAAUCCUUUUGGUGCAGCCCUGCAGAAAAGCUAAGAUGGAAUAAAAAAUAAUACUAGCAACAGUAACUUAAAGUGGAUCAAUCACUGCUCAUACAAACAAACCCCUAAGAACAGCCCACACCUGUUUCUUCAGAUACACAGUGACCACGGACUGAACGUUGAAUCCCCUGAAGGAUGAUGAACUCUGGGACCUGUCAGUAUUCACGGAUGUCGGGUCGGGUCAGGAUGGGAUGGAUGUGUGUAUGUGCUGUGUACGUACAUGUGUGUUAGUGUAAGAGAUAAACAGUAAUGAUGGGGGCAGACGUACACCAGCAGCCCAUUUUUUAUAUUUAUUGUGUACCUAACUACCUUGGUAUUCCAGAUAAAGGGGGGAGGGGAGAUUCCCAGAAAGCAGGACCAGUGACUGAAAACAGGGAGUUCUGAAAAAGCUACAAUGGAAACUUAACAACACAGGAUAUUUUUGAGCGUGUGGUUUAGCUGACGGCUCGAAACACUGUCGUCCACAGGAAGAGACGACACACGUCACUGUAGAUCUCACACACUCGGACGCGGCACAGCUGUCGGGUUCAGACGAGCCAUUCCGUUUUGCACAACCUCCACAGCAGUUUCAUGACCACUGGCUUCUCAAAACAUGCAGUUUUAUUAGUGGAUGGAACCCCACAGCUCUGCAUCCUCCGUGCUGCUGCUGCUCCACACUCAGUAACGCCUACAACAGUACCUCACGUUACACCACACAACAGCAACUCUAUUACGUUUUAGUUUUUUCUCCAGAUUUCUUCCACUUCUACCCCGUUUCAGGCUCGUUACCGUGGCAAUAAACCCAUCUUUGUCCCUGCUUCGGUUAAACUAGGACCAGAUUUAUUUUGUAACCCUGAUUUUUUCUAACGCACGCAGCUCUGUGCUCAUUUUGACACUUUCAACUGUUAGUUUGAAGAAAAUGAAAGUGGCCCCGAUGACUGAGUGAAAUUAUUUAGUUGAAGUUACUGCCAAUAUUAUUAAUGACCAUUUUGUUUGUUUGUUUUUCUUCUGACAUUCACUAGCUGGCAAAAAACUAAGCCAAUUUGCUUUCACUGUGCUAUUUUUAUUUUAUUUUUUUUUACCCUUUUCAAUAAAUUGAACAAUGUAUUUAAUGUGA